UACGGGAGGGUGCGAGCGUUGUCCGGAAUCACUGGGCGUAAAGGGCGCGUAGGUGGCCUGUGGAAGUCUGCGGUGAAAGCCCGGCGCUCAACGCCGGGUCGGCCGUGGAUACUCUCGGGCUUGAGCUUACUAGAGGCAGAUGGAAUUCCGGGUGUAGCGGUGGAAUGCGUAGAGAUCCGGAAGAACACCGGUGGCGAAGGCGGGCUCUGGGCCG
rnacentral:rRNA from 1 species